rnacentral:pre_miRNA from 14 species
GUCUAGGACCCCUGGGUGGUCGCGCAGAUCCCGGACGAGCCCCCAAAUGAAAGACCCCCGAAGGGAGCCCCCCACUCAAAGUCUCGGGAAAGACGCGCACCCAGUAGGACACAGACACCG